AUAGCUAUUGACAAAAGGAUUCCGACUGUGGUGCCUUUGGAAACAUAAAAGAGUUGGUGCUUCUAAGUUUUUAAUCUUUGAAUCAAUCUCUUUGACCAUUUAUAACCCUUGAAUUAAUAUUAUUUUUCUAGGGAGACUACUUAAUCCUAAAGGGAAUGACUAUCAUCCCAACCCUACAGUCCUUGAUCCAAGGGUCAAAAAGUCAGAAACUUCAACUCCUUUAUGCUUUCGAAAAUAUAGUAGCUCUACACUUGACAAAAGAGCUAAUGUUUAGGAGAUCUUUUCUACAUUUUCUCCACAAAUUAUUGAAUACAAUGUCCUAGUUUAAAAAGUUAUACUUGACUAUUCUGUAAUUUUAUCUUUAUUUCACUGGAAAAAACUUACCAUCGAAUA
rnacentral:lncRNA from 1 species